GACGAACCGAGCGAACGUUGUUCGGAAUCACUGGGCUUAAAGGGCGCGUAGGCGGGCUAUCAAGUCCGGGGUGAAAUCCUCCAGCUUAACUGGAGAACGGCCUCGGAUACUGAUGGUCUCGAGGGAGGUAGGGGCACGCGGAACUGUGGGUGGAGCGGUGAAAUGCGUAGAUAUCGGGAGGAACACCAGUGGCGAAGGCGGGCACCUGGGCCGACACUGACGCUGAGGCGCGAAAGCUAGGGGAGCAAACAGG
rnacentral:rRNA from 1 species